rnacentral:snRNA from 1 species
AUGGCCGACGCGGGUGAAAGUGUAGUAUCUGUUCUUAUUGGCUUAAUAUCUGAUAAGGGUUGUAUUCGUACUUGUAUCCAAUAAAAUAAACGUAUUUUUCCAAUUUGGCGGAGUGCUAAGACUGCUUCAGCUCCAACGCGUGUCGGCCCGGUAUUGCAAUUUCUUCGGGACCGAUCCACAACUA